GGGAAAGCAGGUUGAACUGCUCCGCCAUCACCACCGUCGACUGUGGAGGUGGAGGGUUUUCCGUAACCACUGACGAAGCCGCAUGGUUAACCUGGCUCUCCUCUGGUCGUACGAUGGCGUUGGUGCGGUGGGAUGACGUUCUUCUAGGUGCCAUGGGUGCUCUAUCUCGAUCUGCAUUCCUCCAAGUAGGGACGGUCCCUUCCUUUAGCACCAACCUAUUGGUGCGAGAUUUCGGCCAACACCAAAGGAGUUGGAGCGGACGAUCGAGAUCUGUCUCCCAAAGGAGAGACCUAUAAGAAAAAUUUCGAUCGGAAGUUGCUCCGGUGGGGACCUUUCGAUGCUCAAGUCGGUAUCUCAUUCAACAGAGG
rnacentral:lncRNA from 1 species